UACGGGGGGAGCAAGCGUUGUUCGGAAUUACUGGGCGUAAAGGGCGCGUAGGCGGCGUGUCAAGUCAGGCGUGAAAGCCCCGGGCUCAACCUGGGAACCGCGCUUGAGACUGGCAUGCUCGAGUUCGGGAGAGGAUGGUGGAAUUCCCAGUGUAGAGGUGAAAUUCGUAGAUAUUGGGAAGAACACCGAUGGCGAAGGCAGCCAUCUGGACCGACACUGACGCUGAGGCGCGAAAGCGUGGGGAGCAAACAGG
rnacentral:rRNA from 1 species